UACGUAGGGUGCGAGCGUUAUUCGGAAUCACUGGGCUUACAGGGUGCGUAGGCGGCUUGUUAAGUAGGGUGUGAAAGCCCCCGGCUCAACCGGGGAAUGGCGCCCUAAACUGGCGAGCUAGAGUGAGAUAGGGGUGUGUGGAACUUCCGGUGGAGCGGUGAAAUGUGUUGAUAUCGGAAGGAACGCCGGUGGCGAAAGCGACACACUGGAUCUUGUCUGACGCUGAGGCACGAAAGCCAGGGGAGCGAACGGG
rnacentral:rRNA from 1 species